UACGGAGGGUGCGAGCGUUAUCCGGAAUUACUGGGUUUAAAGGGUGUGUAGGCGGCUCGGUAAGUCAGGGGUGAAAGUUUGCGGCUCAACCGUAAAAUUGCUUUUGAUACUGCCGGGCUAGAAUCAGGAUGAGGUCAGCGGAAUGUGGCAUGUAGCGGUGAAAUGCAUAGAUAUGCCAUAGAACACCUAUUGCGAAGGCAGCUGGCUAGACCUGUAUUGACGCUGAGGCACGAAAGCGUGGGGAGCGAACAGG
rnacentral:rRNA from 1 species